GAGGGUAUAGCUCAAGUGUUACGGUGCGUGCUUGGCAUGCAUGAGGUCCUGGGUUCAAUCCCCAGUACGUCCU
rnacentral:tRNA from 1 species